GCCUGGUGGUGCAUGCCUGCAGUCCUAGCUAUUUGGGAGGCUGAGGCAGGAGGAUCACUUGGGCCCAGGAGGUUGAAGGUGGGGUGAGCUGUAAUUGCGCCAUUGCAUUCCAGCCUGGGCAACAGAGUGAGUCUUCCUGCAUAAACUUGCCCCCCCCCGCCCACAGAAUCUCCAGGAAAGACAGGUGAGUAAAGGGGUGAGUAAAGGGCUGUGAUGGUUGGUGUCGAAAGUUUGUGCAAAGUGCAGUGGGAGCUUAGGGAGGUUUUAACUUUUGCAUGCGGGAACCAUGCCCAGGUCAGGCAUACAGAGGUUGUCCGAGCUGAGUUUUAAGGGCUAAGGAAAUGUUUGUCAGUUGGACCAAUGCCUUUCAGCAGAACUCCCUGUAUGAUAGAGUGAUCUAAAAGAAUGGUGUGUCCAGGAAAUGGUGUGUCCAGGAAAUGGUGUGUCCAACUGCUUGCUUGGUCUAGAGUGUGCAUCAUAGAAGGAGAAGUAUGGGUGGAGCUGGAUCUUAAAGGGCCCCACGUGCUCUGUUAGGCACUGGGCCUUUAAAUUAUAGGAGCUAAGCUAUCAUUGGAUGAUGUUAUGUGGCAGAAGGACAUGAUCAGUUCUGAGUUUAGGGAAGUUGAUCGGGGAGGUGGUAGCAGUGCCCUCAAAUUCAACUCCCUUGAAUGUGGCUAUUAACCUGGGGAUGCUGAUUGUUGCAGACCAGCCAGAGAAUGAGAUGCUGGGGGAGCCAAUCAAGAGACUCUCCACAUGGCUGGAGAAUCCCAAAUAGCCAUAGGAUUUCCCAGUAACAACUUCUGCCGUGGAUUCAGGGGGAUGGUCGUGGGUGAAGGAAAGAGGCUUCUGGUGGCAUUCAUUGCCCAUGGAAUUCUGAGUGUUCGAGAGUGCUAUAUCUUGGACUUAGAGGAUCAGAGGCUGCUGAAGCUUGUGAAGAAGCAAAGCAGCUGACACAGGAUGAUGAUACUGAUGAGGUUGAGAUUGCUAUCGACAACACGGCUUUUAUGGACGAGUUCUUUUCUGAGGUAGGCAACCUUCCUGUAUUUUUUUCUAAAUGUACAUAAGGAAACACUAUUUCCUUAGUAAGAAUAAAAAACCUUAGAUUUUUCAGGGUAGCAGAGGAAGGUCACAGUUUUUUGCUAGGGUGGGAUGGCCAGACAAAGAAAU
rnacentral:lncRNA from 1 species